rnacentral:rRNA from 1 species
GACGAACGCUGGCGGCGUGCCUAAUACAUGCAAGUAGAACGCUGAAGGAGGAGCUUGCUUCUCUGGAUGAGUUGCGGACGGGUGAGUAACGCGUAGGUAACCUGCCUGGUAGCGGGGGAUAACUAUUGGAAACGAUAGCUAAUACCGCAUAAGAGUAGAUGUCGCAUGACAUUUGCUUAAAAGGUGCAAUUGCAUCACUACCAGAUGGACCUGCGUUGUAUUAGCUAGUUGGUGAGGUAACGGCUCACCAAGGCAACGAUACAUAGCCGACCUGAGAGGGUGAUCGGCCACACUGGGACUGAGACACGGCCCAGACUCCUACGGGAGGCAGCAGUAGGGAAUCUUCGGCAAUGGACGGAAGUCUGACCGAGCAACGCCGCGUGAGUGAAGAAGGUUUUCGGAUCGUAAAGCUCUGUUGUAAGAGAAGAACGAGUGUGAGAGUGGAAAGUUCACACUGUGACGGUAUCUUACCAGAAAGGGACGGCUAACUACGUG